UUUUUUUUAGAGUUUUGAUCCUGGCUCAGAUUGAACGCUGGCGGCAGGCCUAACACAUGCAAGUCGAGCGGAUGAAGGGAGCUUGCUCCUGGAUUCAGCGGCGGACGGGUGAGUAAUGCCUAGGAAUCUGCCUGGUAGUGGGGGACAACGUUUCGAAAGGAACGCUAAUACCGCAUACGUCCUACGGGAGAAAGCAGGGGACCUUCGGGCCUUGCGCUAUCAGAUGAGCCUAGGUCGGAUUAGCUAGUUGGUGGGGUAAUGGCCCACCAAGGCGACGAUCCGUAGCUGGUCUGAGAGGAUGAUCAGCCACACUGGGACUGAGACACGGCCCAGACUCCUACGGGAGGCAGCAGUGGGGAAUAUUGGACAAUGGGCGAAAGCCUGAUCCAGCCAUGCCGCGUGUGUGAAGAAGGUCUUCGGAUUGUAAAGCACUUUAAGUUGGGAGGAAGGGCUGUUACCUAAUACGUGACAGUUUUGACGUUACCAACAGAAUAAGCACCGGCUAAC
rnacentral:rRNA from 1 species